UUAACUGGAGGGGAGGUGGGGAUGACGUCAAAUCAUCAUGCCCCUUAUGACCUGGGCUACACACGUGCUACAAUGGACGGUACAACGAGUCGCGAAGUCGUGAGGCUAAGCUAAUCUCUUAAAGCCGUUCUCAGUUCGGAUUGUAGGCUGCAACUCGCCUACAUGAAGUUGGAAUCGCUAGUAAUCGCGGAUCAGCAUGCCGCGGUGAAUACGUUCCCGGGCCUUGUACACACCGCCCGUCACACCAUGAGAGUUUGUAACACCCAAAGCCGGUGAGAUAACCUUCGGGAGUCAGCCGUCUAAGGUGGGAUAAGAUGACUAGGGUGAUCGAAAGAUGUAGAAUGCAGACCUUUAA
rnacentral:rRNA from 2 species